rnacentral:lncRNA from 1 species
UUAGAUAUUUCUCAUCUUCCUCACCCAAGUUUGGUAGCCAUAGUUGCAAGUGAGAAAAAAACUUUCUCUUGCUCUUUAAUUAUUAUUUCUUCAAAUCAAACACAAGUUUCACCCAAACCACAAACUUUUCCAAUAAAGUAGACGACCCUUUUUUAAGCUCAUCUCCUUUAUUAUCUUCAUCAUUCAAGCCUAGGUUUUCAUAGGCUUAGUGAGAGAAAACUUGAGGCAGUCAAAGAAAGCUUCAAUCAAAGUAAGAUACGGUAUUUUUUUUAUCUUCCAAGUGUUUACUUAGGAUAUUUUAGAAGAGAAGUGUUAGGAAAUGUGUAUUAAUAUAUAUUGUUUAUAUUUUUGGUAUAAUAAAUGUUGAUGGGUGGAUAAAAUGUCUUUGAGCAGAGGAAUUAUUGGAAUCAAAACUUGAGAGUGAUUGAGUAAGCUUUGUUUUGGAAUUUUUUCCUUGAAAAUAAUAAUCACCAUGGAUUUCUUAACUUUCCUUUAAUAAAUCAAUUUUGAAAAAUUGUUCAAAUUAAUGAAUUAAAGUUUUGUGAUGAGUUUGUAAGCUAAAAAUAUAAGAAAUAUUUUUUUAAAGCCAUGGUUUAGUAAGAUAUACUAGUUUGGACAAAUUAAUGGCAUUUAUGGAACUUGGCUUAGUUACAUGAAAUGAGAUGAAAAAAUAGUAUGUGAAUUUAUGAGAUGGUAUCAUGUGAUAAAAAUAGAUUAAUGGACAAAUAUUAAAUUAAAAGUUGUGGUUCAAUAAAACUAAAUGAGAUUCCGUGAAAAAGGAGAAACUUCUUAAUAAAUAAAGUCUAUAUAUAUAUAUAUGAAUAAUGAAUGGUUACUUGAGUGAAAUACGUACGUGGAAAUAUUGUUGAGAGCAUUAAAUGCUUGAAAACCUUAAUAAAAACAAAUGUUAAGUGAAGUGAGAUUAAAAAAUGUAAGAUAAUGAUGGAUGCUUGAAAAGUCCAAUAAUGAAAUGUUUUUUAAUUAUCCAAUAAUGAAAUGUUAAUAUGUGCCUUAUAUCAUUAAAAUAUUAUUAAAUUCUAUUUAUAUGAAAAACCAUGUUAAAAGUGCAAUGUGAUUUUAUUAUGAAAUGUCAUAGUAAUUAGUGAUUAACGAAGAUAUAAAUGGCAUAUCAUAGGAGUUUGUAAAUUCUACUACCUGACUCGAUUUAUCAAAUCCAAAUAUAGGAUGUCACAAUACCUACAUACUUAAUAAAAAAUUUUGAAAACUGGCGAAGACCCUACUAAACAUGCCUUUUAUUUGUUUAUUUAUUAUUCUAAGCCAAAGAUUUUGACUUAAGAUUACAACAUAUUCUCAAAUAUUAGUAUAAGUCAAUCUAACUUAAAUAUUUAUUGAAAUAGACUCAAUCUUAGCGUAUAAUACUAUUCACCACUUGAAAACAUAUUCCCAAAAGUGUCCUUUGCAUAUUGCUAUUCAAACUGCCACCUUGAUGCAUUCCUGGCUUGUUUCAUCCAUGCCUUGGUUCAAUAACAAGAACUUGCAUUACACAUAGACUUCCGCAAUUUCAACAGAAUUUAAUGAAUCUCAACCAUCAUUACCUUUAAGUGGUGUUUUUGAAAUCCUCGACUUAAGAAUUCUAGACUUCCUUUUUCACUUUUUAUUGAUACUUUUUUAUUCCUGGUGGAUAACCAUAAGCCCAUCUCCACCCCUUUCCACCUUAUACACAUUCCGCUCAGUUGGCGGAUCACAAACUUAAGUCUUUAUUUCGGACCCUAUCUCAAAAAUAUUUUUUAAGAUAGAAGAUGGAUAUAUUCCUUGGAAUGAUAUGCGCGCAGCUGCUAUCCAUUGUGGAUUCAUAAACUGGCUCUAGCAUAUUGUAAGGUCUGUAGUCACACUAUACCUAUAAUUUAGUCCAGUCUAACGAACUUGGUCCGGUAAAUACCAUAUUCAUGAUCAUACAAUGGAAAUACAUAUGAUUCUGAUACAUAAUAUGAGAAUUUCCAGGAUGGACGGACAUGUAUACCACCCUAAGUUUCGGAUAUGUUAGGGUCUCUACCUUGGUUGAUCACUAAACUGGAUUCACUAGUUAGGUACACUACGAAGAUUCUCCUAUAGAAAAUGCCACAAAGGCAUACUCAGAUCGUUGCUACAAAAUGGAACUAACAUCUCACACUUAAGUGUUACAAAAUUCACCUUACAGGCUUCCCGGAUGACUUGCCACAAAGGCUUCCAAGAUGUCUUGCCAAAAAGGCUUCCUAGAUGUCUUGCCACAAAGGCUUUACAAAUGAUCUGCCAUAAAGCUUCCUAGAUGACUUACCACAAAGGCUUUACAAAUGAUCCACCACAAAGGCUUCUUAGAUGUCUUGCUACAAAGGAUUUACAAAUGAUCUGCCACAAAGCUUCCUAGAUGACUCGUCACAAAGGCUUUACGAUGAUCCACCAAAAAGGCUUCCCAAAUGACUCACCAGAAAGGCUUUACAGAUUAUCUGCCACAAAGUCUUUACAGAUUAUUCGCCAUAAAGGCUUCUCAGAUGUCUUGCCAUAAAGGCUUUACAGAUAAUUUGCCAUAAAGGCUUCGUAGAUGACUCGCUACAAAGGCUUCAUAGAUGAUCCGCCAUAAAGCCUUCCCAGUUGUCAUGCCAAAAAGGCUUUCAAAAUAAUUCACCACAAAGGCUUGGUUUGGUUUGCUACCAAGACACCAUAUAAAAUGCCCUGUUUGAUGACAUGGAUUUUUCCUAAACUCAGCAUCACCUGAGGUUUUCCCAUCAUCUCCCUCGGGACACGUAAAAACACUAAUAAAUAAUUACGGCUCAUCUGCCAUUCCUAGAAUGUGUCAUGACCAUGGUCUUUUCACAUAUCUUUCAUACUGAUGUUUUCUCACUUUUAGUGUCCCAACAGACCUCAUGUUUCUGAUCCCGACGGACUACAUUUCACCAUAUUGGCCUUCAUGUUUACUUUCCCAGCGGGUGUUAUCAAAGCACCAAUGCGGGGUCUAUUAUUGUAUCAAAUACUUUCCCAACACUCUACCUAAACCCUCUUAUCACCAACCAUACUUGGUCAUCCAUCACUAAAAUAAUAUAAUAAACACAUUUACACAGAUUUCACUCAUUUUCUUAUCAGAAUAAUACUUCCUAAUACUUGAUUUCCCAUGCAUGCUUACCACACAUUGUCAUAUUCAUGCAGCACAUCAUACACCCUAUUACAUACAUACCAGUGCUUCACAAAACACACACAAACAUAUAUGCAUACUGUAACUCCUGAAGAAGAUAAGUGUAACAGCCCGAUUUUGAGCCUAGUCAGAACAGUGGUUUCGAGACCAUGAAUCUGACAAAUUGAAAUUUGCUUUUAUUAUAUUUUUAUGGUCUACAGUUUUAUGGAAUGGUUUGGUGAAAAUUUUGUUUGAAAAUUUUGAUGUUUGAGCACUCAAUUUAGCAAAAAGGACUAAAUUAUAAAAAGUGAAAAAGUUAAGUUCUACAUGCUAGAGGUGUCUAAUUGUUAUGAAAUUUUAAAUUGAAGGUCCUUAGAUGUAAUUUGACCAUUUUUAAGUUAGUGGACAAAAAUUGACAUGAGGUAAGAGAAAUUUCAUGUUUUAAGUUAGGGGAAUUUUGGUCAUUUAGUAUUUAAAUGAAUUAAAAGGCAAAAAUCAAACCAAAAACCUUGUCCAUCUUCUCCCACUUGUGCUGAAAAUUAGAAGGAAUACAUAGCUAGGGUUUGGCCAACUUUCAAGCUUGAUUGUAAGCUCGUUCUUGCCCAGUUUUUAAUGCUCUUUACAUUUUUGAAGUCGUUAUAACUCGAUCUAUCUAUUUCUACCAUUAAUUUGAGAAAUUAUUACGGUCUAGGGUAUGAACCAUGUAAGAUAUAUGUGUAUUUUGAUGUCUAAUGGUAGAAAAUUGUGUUUGGUGUAUGAUAAACAACUUUUGCUAGGUGAUUUUUGAUGAAAAUGUCAAAAGGACAAAUUUGUAAAAAGGUUAUAAAAUUUGUGUAAAAGUGUGAUUAAAUGAAAAUUUUGGGUUGUUAUAUGUAUAAAAAGGUUCGACUAGGCAUUGGAAUCGAAGAAAUUGAAUCUAUUUCAAUUUACGAGCUUAGGGACCAAAAUGUAAAAAUGUCAAAGUUUAGGAGCAAAAAUAUAAUUUUGCCAUAAUGGUUUUUGAACUGAAUUGAGUAAUGUGAAUAACAAAUGAGUUAAAAUUUCUAUUAUAAAUCAAGAGAAAUGAGGUUCAGACCUAGAUCGGGGGAAAAGCAAAGUGUUUGACGAUUAGGUCCCAUUUCUACUAUUUUUUGUACCAAGGUAAGUUCUUAUGUAAAUAAUGCAUUGUUUUAAUUAUUUUUUAAAUGCUUUAAUAUUGUAUGAAUUGUGAUUGACUCAUGGACGUAUUCCACAAAGUUACGACAAGUGUGAAAUUCCGGUUGAACCUUAGGAAUAGAUAGGAUACAAAUGUCAUGACAUUAGGGUUACUAAGUCUAUGUGUAAGACCAUAUCUGGGAUAUGGCAUCAAUAUGAGACUUCGUGUAAGACUAUAUCUGAGAUAUGGCAUCGAUAUAAGAUUUCAUGUAAGGCCAUAACUGGGUUAUUGGCACCGAUAUGAGAUUACAUGUAAGACCAUAUUUGGGAUAUGGCAUUGGUAUGGUACCGUGUGUAUGGGACUUCCGAGUAUCCUUUAGUUUUCCAAGUGGUUCAACGGGUAAUUUAAUGAGUAUUUCAAAGGUGAAUUGCAUGCAAAUCCAAUUCGAGAUGACUCAGGUAUGUACGAAAAACUCAUCUCGUUAUGUGAUGAACCCUUAGUAAGGUUAUGAUUAAGUUAUGACUAUAAGAUCUCAAUAAUAUUUAUGCCAAUUAUCAUCAUGUUAAUUGAGAUGCCUAUUAUUUGCAUGGGAACUUACUAAGCUAUAUAACUUACUUCAUUUUUCUUUCCUUUGUCUUAUAAUGUCACCAGGCUAGCUCAAGGAUUGGAGAUUGUCGGAGAUCCACUCACACUAUCAACUGAUUAUUUUGGGUACCAAUGAAUUUAACAUUUUGAGUUAUGGCAUGUAUAGGGACUUGGUUAUUUUGUUAUGUGUCAUAAUUGAAUUGGCCAAAUGUAUUGGCCUAUAUUGGUUGAUAAUUCAUUUUGUAAAUGGCCAUAUGGAAUUGGCUAAUAUUGGCUUAAGUAUAUAUGCAUAUGAUGAGGU